AGGCACUCACCUCUCGCGAGAAUUAGCGGUUUCCUACGACUUCGAAAUCAUCUCGCGUUGUUUGAUGAUGGUGUGAGAUGGUGACUCACCUCCAGAGGGACAGAGACGGAGACUGGGAUUGAGAUCGUUGUCAAAUGAAAAGCAGCUGAUCCAAGCAGUUUAGCAGAUGAGCAGAUUCCACUGGGGAAGCAAAUCUGGUCAGAGGACGCUGACAUGGCCCAUAUAAACAUUCAAAUACUUGAUUAAUGAUCUAGAAAAGGAUUAAGAUGUACUGUGGAGAUUGUGGCUACAGGUUCAAAACAAUGAGUUAAUAGCCAUCUUAUCAAGGAAGCUUAAUCAAAGGCGAGCGAGAAUGUUUGGCAGAACACUAACAAAUGAGUACAUGACGCAAUGCUUCAAAAUGUUCUGGCAGAAACUGGCGUGUUUGGGUUUUUAAAAGAUCUUCGUAUGGUACUGGGUUUACAAUAUUUGAAGAAUUGUAUUGAAAGCCGAGUUCUUUAAAACUAUGACUGUCUCUGCGUUUUCAAUUAUCACCAAGUGAUGGAAAUAUCCCCUGAAGAGUCCAAGUGAAGAAAUUCCACUCUGAUAUUGUGAAAGCUGACUUCCAGUUCUGCGAGUCCACAAAUCUAUGGUUGAAUUCAGGACUUGAGCAACUCCUUGUACCUCGCUGCACAGAGAUUUGGAACAAGUUGCUCCAGAACGAUUGAAGCUGUGUGAGAUACUGUUUUAAAACUUGUGCUGUACAAAAGGAAACAUUGGCUUGGAGUUUGCUUUUGAACUAUAGUUUCAUCAUGGAAUUGCAAGUAGUGACUGUUGAAUGUUUCCUCCCUGCUGUGAUUUUUAAUGGCCCCCUGAGGGACUGCCUGAUCAACGCUAAGCUUCCCUUUUGUGAUUCAAUGUGAGAUGAUAUUUUUGCUUUUGGUUAAAUGUUGAUAAAAAAGGCGAGUCUGCUCUAGAACACAAUAUCAGAUUCUAAAAGACGUCAGCCAGGAUGUCCUGGAGGAAGGGCUAUUUCACACCAAACAAUAACGUUCAGGGUAUGUUCUUGCCACGGAGCACGACUUCUAUUGCAGCAAGUAAGGGACUGAUGAAUGCGCCUGGGCAGAAUAGCUGCUUUCUCAACAGUGCACUGCAGGUCCUUUGGCACCUUGAUAUUUUUCGAAGGAGUUUCAGACAGAUAAUCACUCACAAAUGUAUGGGAGAUUCCUGCAUCUUUUGUGCUCUCAAGG